rnacentral:rRNA from 1 species
GGAAACAGGUGCUAAUACCGCAUAACAGUUUAUGCCGCAUGGCAUAAGAGUGAAAGGCGCUUUCGGGUGUCGCUGAUGGAUGGACCCGCGGUGCAUUAGCUAGUUGGUGAGGUAACGGCUCACCAAGGCCACGAUGCAUAGCCGACCUGAGAGGGUGAUCGGCCACACUGGGACUGAGACACGGCCCAGACUCCUACGGGAGGCAGCAGUAGGGAAUCUUCGGCAAUGGACGAAAGUCUGACCGAGCAACGCCGCGUGAGUGAAGAAGGUUUUCGGAUCGUAAAACUCUGUUGUUAGAGAAGAACAAGGACGUUAGUAACUGAACGUCUCCUGACGGUAUCUAACCAGAAAGCCACGGCUAACUACGUGCCAGCAGCCGCGGUAAUACGUAGGUGGCAAGCUUUGUCCGGAUUUAUUGGGCGUAAAGCGAGCGCAGGCGGUUUCUUAAGUCUGAUGUGAAAGCCCCCGGCUCAACCGGGGAGGGUCAUUGGAAUCUGGGAGACUUGAGUGCAGAAGAGGAGAGUGGAAUUCCAUGUGUAGCGGUGAAAUGCGUAGAUAUAUGGAGGAUCACCAGUGGCGAAGGCGGCUCUCUGGUCUGUAACUGACGCUGAGGCUCGAAAGCGUGGGGA